rnacentral:rRNA from 1 species
AAGAAACUAGCAAGGAUUCCCCUAGUAACUGCGAGUGAAGAGGGAAAAGCUCAAAUUUAAAAUCUGGCAGUCUUUUGAUUGUCCGAGUUGUAAUUUAGAGAAGUGUUACCCGUGUUGGACUGUGUACAAGUCUCCUGGAAUGGAGCGUCAUAGAGGGUGAGAAUCCCGUCUUUGACACAGAUCCCAAUGCAUUGUGGUAUGCUCUCAAAGAGUCGAGUUGUUUGGGAAUGCACCUCUAAAUGGGUGGUAAAUUCCAUCUAAAGCUAAAUAUUGGGGAGAGACCGAUAGCGAACAAGUACCGUGAGGGAAAGAUGAAAAGAACUUUGGAAAGAGAGUUAAACAGUACGUGAAAUUGCUGAAAGGGAAACGCUUGAAGUCAGUCGCAUUUGUCAGGGAUCAGCCUUCCCUUAUGGGUUGGUGUACUUCCUGAUGAAUGGGUCAACAUCAGUUUUGAUCAGUGGAUAAGAGCUUGAGGAAUGUGGCAUCUUCGGGUGUGUUAUAGCCUCUUGUUGUAUACAUUGAUUGGGACUGAGGAACUCAGCACGCCGCAAGGCCGGGUUUUUAACCACGUUUCGUGCUUAGGAUGUUGGCAUAAUGGNUUUAAUCGACCCGUCUUGAAACACGGACCAAGGAGUCUAACAUGCCUGCGAGUGUUUGGGUGGAAAACCCGAGCGCGUAAUGAAAGUGAAAGUCAGGAUCUCUGUCGUGGAGAGCACUGAUGCCCGGCCUUGAUCUUUUGUGACGGUGCCGCGGUUGAGCAUGUAUGUUGGGACCCGAAAGAUGGUGAACUAUGCCUGAAUAGGGUGAAGCCAGAGGAAACUCUGGUGGAGGCUCGUAGCGAUUCUGA